GCUUGACGGUACCAGAGGAAUAAGCACCGGCUAACUCCGUGCCAGCAGCCGCGGUAAUACGGAGGGUGCAAGCGUUAUCCGGAUUCACUGGGUUUAAAGGGUGCGUAGGCGGGCAGGUAAGUCCGUGGUGAAAUCUCUGAGCUUAACUCANAAACUGCCAUGGAUACUAUUUGUCUUGAAUGUUGUGGAGGUAAGCGGAAUAUGUCAUGUAGCGGUGAAAUGCUUAGAUAUGACAUAGAACACCAAUUGCGAAGGCAGCUUACUACACAAAUAUUGACGCUGAGGCACGAAAGCGUGGGGAUCAAACAGGAUUAGAUACCCUGGUAGUCCACGCCCUAAACGAUGAUUACUCGACAUCAGCGAUACACUGUUGGUGUCUGAGCGAAAGCAUUAAGUAAUCCACCUGGGAAGUACGAUCGCAAGAUUGAAACUC
rnacentral:rRNA from 1 species